UGUAUGUCACCGAGGAGGCUGCUGCGCUCCUGCCCCACGCCCUGGGCCCUUGAAGGGCUCUGCGAGUGACCCGGCGGGCGAGCUCCGUGCUGCAUGGAACGGCUGCAGAAGCAACCACUUACCUCCCCCGGGAGCGUGAGCCCCUCCCGAGAUUCCAGUGUGCCUGGCUCUCCCUCCAGCAUCGUGGCCAAGAUGGACAAUCAGGUGCUGGGCUACAAGGACCUGGCUGCCAUUCCCAAGGACAAGGCCAUCCUGGACAUCGAGCGGCCGGACCUCAUGAUCUACGAGCCUCACUUCACUUAUUCCCUCCUGGAACACGUGGAGCUGCCCCGCAGCCGGGAGCGCUCGCUGUCACCCAAAUCCACAUCCCCCCCACCAUCCCCAGAGGUGAGUCUGCCCCACACCUGCAACUUGCCCUGCCCUGCCCUGAAGGGGAUCCUAACUCCCUCCCCUCACACAUCAGACCAAGCUCUGCAGAGCCCAGGGAGUGGCCGAAUCAGCGGCCCCCUGGCUGUCACUGGCCAGCUCUGUGUCCAUCAUUCUGUCGGACCCAGGACCUCAACCCUUUCUCCCUGGGUCAGGCACCAUC
rnacentral:sRNA from 1 species